GAUGAACGCUGGCGGCGUGCCUAAUACAUGCAAGUCGAGCGAACAGAUGAGGAGCUUGCUCCUCUGACGUUAGCGGCGGACGGGUGAGUAACACGUGGAUAACCUACCUAUAUGACUGGGAUAACUUCGGGAAACCGGAGCUAAUACCGGAUAAUAUAUUGAACCGCAUGGUUGAAUAGUGAAAGACGGUUUUGCUGUCAGUUGUGGAUGGAUCCGCGCCGCAUUAGCUAGUAGGUGAGGUAGCGGCUUACCAAGGCUACGACGCGUAGCCGACCUGAGAGGGGGACCGGCCAAAUUGGGACUGAGAGACGGACCAGAGUCCUACGGGAGGCAGCAGUGGGGAAUAUUGCACAAUGGGCGGAAGCCUGAUGCAGCAACGCCGCGUGCGGGAUGACGGCCUUCGGGUUGUAAACCGCUUUCGCCUGUGACGAAGCGUGAGUGACGGUAAUGGGUAAAGAAGCACCGGCUAACUACGUG
rnacentral:rRNA from 1 species